GUCUAGGUAUCAAGUAUAAGUUCUAAACGCAGCCAGGAACAUUGAAGAGCUGUUUGUGUUUGAUCAUGAGGACCGCACAUGGGCUGACAGCUAAAGGAGAAGUUGUUUAGCUCUACAAAUAAGAUGAAUUACUAUGAAGGAAAAAUUCGACGGUGGAGUAACAGUGAAUGGGCAGAAAACGGAAGCAAAGAAUUACUCCAUCAAGUUCCCCCAUAAACUCUUUUUGAUGAGGAUUACAAGUAAUCGAGAGAUAUAGAAAAAUCGAAUUGAAGAAAGCCUAACCAUUCAAAUGGAAACUAACCUCAGAGGUAGCAACUUAUAGCCAAGCGUGAACAAAGCGUCAAAAUAACAAAGCUCUCAAACUUAGACUCGAUAGGAUGUAUUUGUCAACAAGCGUUUCGUAAUUUGUUUGUUUUUCCUGCCAGAAGUGUUUCGAGUUUUAAAAGCUGAUUUUGUCAAUUAUUAGCAAACAAUCUGUCGAAAAAAACAUUUUUUUUUAAAUUUUUUCUCAUCAAAGUUGGAUCAAGUCGUUCAGAGCCACAAUUUGACUGAUCGUUAGGGAAUUACUUGUAGUUGACUAGACUUAGAUGCUGUUUACGCAUUUAUUUCGUAAAUCUGCUUUUUUCUUGCCAGAAUUAUCUCUAGUGAUCCGACUUAGUUAAAAAAAAUAUUUACCAGUUUAGCUUA